rnacentral:rRNA from 1 species
GCUCAGAUUGAACGCUGGCGGCAGGCCUAACACAUGCAAGUCGAACGGUAACAGGAAGCAGCUUGCUGCUUCGCUGACGAGUGGCGGACGGGUGAGUAAUGUCUGGGAAACUGCCUGAUGGAGGGGGAUAACUACUGGAAACGGUGGCUAAUACCGCAUAACGUCGCAAGACCAAAGAGGGGGACCUUCGGGCCUCUUGCCAUCAGAUGUGCCCAGAUGGGAUUAGCUWGUUGGUGAGGUAACGGCUCACCAAGGCGACGAUCCCUAGCUGGUCUGAGAGGAUGACCAGCCACACUGGAACUGAGACACGGUCCAGACUCCUACGGGAGGCAGCAGUGGGGAAUAUUGCACAAUGGGCGCAAGCCUGAUGCAGCCAUGCCGCGUGUAUGAAGAAGGCCUUCGGGUUGUAAAGUACUUUCAGCGGGGAGGAAGGUGUUGUGGUUAAUAACC